rnacentral:lncRNA from 1 species
AAGCUGCUUUCUGUGCAGAAGCCACCGUUUUGCUCUUUGCUGAAUGGAAAGACUCAGGGCCCCGUUUCACUUUCUCCACAGGAACAGUGCUGAAACCAACCCCAAGAAGACGUCCACAAAGUGCUGCGCUGCCCCGGGGCCCUGAAGGGAGCCUUCGAGACGGAAGGGCCCGGGGAGACAGGUGGCCGAUUUCCAAACAGAGCCCCUGCACGUGGUGAGCUGUUCAGCUCUCGCGGGACAGGACUCCACGCAUCAGACGGUGAUUUUGGAUGAGAUGAUUCUGAGCCCUGCCUUGGGAGUCUGAAGCACAGGGGUCUGUGCGGAUAACCAGCGUGGAGGGCGAGUUUGCUGCCCUGUUUCAGUGCAACGAUUCGAAGGAAAAGCAACCCUGGAAGAAAGACGGGGGUGGCGGUGCAGCGCGUCUCACCCAUGUGAACGUCCCCGCAAAGAGGACAGUCAGUGCCAAGGAGCAAAGACCAGGACCAGACUAGCCCAAGGGGCCGAGCCCGGGUGGCCAGGGCCGCCCAGCAGGUGAGAACUGACCACUGAAUCUGCUGUGUCUCAGCAAGGACGGCCCUUGCCCUAAAUCUGUAGGGUGCCUGGAUUUAUUAGUGAGAUCGAG